rnacentral:lncRNA from 1 species
ACAAUUUAUAUAUAUAUAUACACACACACACACACACACACACACACCACUUGAGAUGAUAUACCAAUGCACAUCUAGCUGCUGAAAAUGCUCCAAAAUGAUAUGCAAUUAUAGCCAUCCUACUACACUAAGAACAUGAAGCCUUUACCAUUUGUCCUUUAAUUAAGAGCACCCGUAAUUUAUAUAUGUGUACUAAAUAAAACCACACAGGCAUUAACUAUAUAGUUCCUUACCAAAUCUUCUUUUCCACAGUUGCAGUCCAUAGUAUAUGCUUUCCCUCAUCAACAAUCGCGUAGACAUCACCUACACGGGCACCAAUGAUUAAUAACCACUUUUGACCAAAUUCCUACUCAAAACAAAAUCUGGGAUAAACCUUACCUCUUCUCAAUCUUAACCAAAUUGACCACCAACAUAGGUUCAUAAUACAGAUUAAUAGCUCAAAUAUAUACAAAUCAUUAGAUAUAUAAAUACUACAGCAUCACCUACUGUCACAUCCCGACCCUUAUAUUUUUACCUUAUUUACUAGCGUGAUUAUAAUAAGAAUUUUACCGUCUCGAUCAUUGAGUAAAUAGUUUAAUUGGUCCCUAGAGGGGUUUCGGGGACGAUUAUGUGCGGAGGAUUAUUCGUAUGAGGAAAAUACGAUGACGGUAAAAAUAGUAAAUUUUAGCUAGUAAAAGGUAAUUUUUAUUCGGGUAUUAUUUUUCGGGGUGUUGAAUUUUGGAAUUAUGGGUUAAAAGGGGUGUUGGGUCGGCUGGGCCGAGCCCAACCCAUUUCUUCUUCUUUCUCUUCUCCCUCCCUCUCGAUUUUUCUUCUCCUCCCACCCGAUUUCUUCUCUCUACACCCAGCAAACUUCCGGCCGUCCUCCCGCCGCCGUCCGACCUCCGUUCGCCGCCGGACCGGUCCCGUUCGGUCGGUCUCCCUCCCAGCUUCCAUUCUAGGCCGGUAGCAGCCCCCCCUAGCGCCGCCGUGAGUGAGCGGUUGCCGCCC